AUUCCAGCUCCAAUAGCGUAUAUUUAAGUUGUUGCAGUUAAAAAGCUCGUAGUUGGAUUUCGGAUGGGAUUUGCCGGUCCGCCUUUGAGGUGUGUACUGGUAGGUCCUAUCUUGUUGUCGGGGACUAGCUCCUGGGCUUCACUGUCCGGGACUAGGAGCCGACGAAGUUACUUUGAGUAAAUUAGAGUGUUCAAAGCAAGCCUACGCUCUGAAUAUAUUAGCAUGGAAUAACACGAUAGGACUCUGGCUUAUCUUGUUGGUCUGUGAGACCAGAGUAAUGAUUAAGAGGGACAGUCGGGGACAUUCGUAUUUCAUUGUCAGAGGUGAAAUUCUUGGAUUUAUGAAAGACGAACUUCUGCGAAAGCAUUUGUCAAGGAUGUUUUCAUUG
rnacentral:rRNA from 1 species